UACGUAGGGUGCGAGCGUUGUCCGGAAUUACUGGGCGUAAAGGGCGCGUAGGCGGCCUGUUAAGUCGAACGUGAAAUCCCCGGGCUCAACCCGGGAACUGCGUCCGAUACUGGCAGGCUUGAAUCCGGGAGAGGGAUGUGGAAUUCCAGGUGUAGCGGUGAAAUGCGUAGAUAUCUGGAGGAACACCGGUGGCGAAGGCGGCAUCCUGGACCGGUAUUGACGCUGAGGCGCGAAAGCCAGGGGAGCAAACGGG
rnacentral:rRNA from 1 species